AGUGAACGCUGGCGGUAGGCCUAACACAUGCAAGUCGAACGGCAGCACAGUAAGAGCUUGCUCUUACGGGUGGCGAGUGGCGGACGGGUGAGGAAUACAUCGGAAUCUACUUUUUCGUGGGGGAUAACGUAGGGAAACUUACGCUAAUACCGCAUACGACCUACGGGUGAAAGCAGGGGUUCUUCGGACCUUGCGCGAUUGAAUGAGCCGAUGUCGGAUUAGCUAGUUGGCGGGGUAAAGGCCCACCAAGGCGACGAUCCGUAGCUGGUCUGAGAGGAUGAUCAGCCACACUGGAACUGAGACACGGUCCAGACUCCUACGGGAGGCAGCAGUGGGGAAUAUUGGACAAUGGGCGCAAGCCUGAUCCAGCCAUACCGCGUGGGUGAAGAAGGCCUUCGGGUUGUAAAGCCCUUUUGUUGGGAAAGAAAAGCAGCAGGUUAAUACCCCGCUGUUCUGACGGUACCCAAAGAAUAAGCACCGGCUAACUUCGU
rnacentral:rRNA from 1 species